GCCUCCCUCUUUCUUCGUGCUUAACACAUGCAAGUCGAACGGAAAGGCCUGCUUUCCCUUGUGGAUUGCGGGUACUCGAGUGGCGAACGGGUGAGUAACACGUGAGUGAUCUGCCCCCAACUUGGGUAUAAGCCUGGGAAACUGGGUCUAAUUCCCGAUAGGACUGCAGGGUGGUGCCUGUGGUGGAAAACGAUUUUCUAGUGGUUGGGGAUGAGCUCGCGGCCUAUCAGCUUGUUGGUGGGGUAAUGGCCUACCAAGGCGGCGACGGGUAGCCGGCCUGAGAGGGUGGACGGCCACAUUGGGACUGAGAUACGGCCCAGACUCCUACGGGAGGCAGCAGUGGGGAAUAUUGCACAAUGGGCGGAAGCCUGAUGCAGCGACGCCGCGUGGGGGAUGACGGCCUUCGGGUUGUAAACUCCUUUCGACCGCGAGGAAGCCACCUGGUUGGAAGGGUGGUGACGGUAGUGGUAGAAGAAGCACCGGCUAACUACGUG
rnacentral:rRNA from 1 species